rnacentral:rRNA from 1 species
AUACGGAGGAUCCGAGUGGUUAUCCGGAUUUAUUGGGUUUAAAGGGUGCGCAGGCGGAAGAUUAAGUCGGCGGUGAAAUUUUGCAGCUCAACUGUAAAAGUGCCUUCGAAACUGGUUUUCUUGAGUGUAGAUGAAGUAGGCGGAAUUUGUGGUGUAGCGGUGAAAUGCUUAGAUAUCACAAAGAACUCCGAUUGCGCAGGCAGCUUACUAAACUACAACUGACGCUCAGGCACGAAGGCGUGGGUAUC